rnacentral:rRNA from 1 species
GACGAACGCUGGCGGCGUGCCUAAUACAUGCAAGUUGAGCGCUGAAGGUUGGUACUUGUACCAACUGGAUGAGCAGCGAACGGGUGAGUAACGCGUGGGGAAUCCGCCUUUGAGCGGGGGACAACAUUUGGAAACGAAUGCUAAUACCGCAUAAAAACUUUAAACACAAGUUUUAAGUUUGAAAGAUGCAAUUGCAUCACUCAAAGAUGAUCCCGCGUUGUAUUAGCUAGUUGGUGAGGUAAAGGCUCACCAAGGCGAUGAUACAUAGCCGACCUGAGAGGGUGAUCGGCCACAUUGGGACUGAGACACGGCCCAAACUCCUACGGGAGGCAGCAGUAGGGAAUCUUCGGCAAUGGACGAAAGUCUGACCGAGCAACGCCGCGUGAGUGAAGAAGGUUUUCGGAUCGUAAAACUCUGUUGGUAGAGAAGAACGUUGGUGAGAGUGGAAAGCUCAUCAAGUGACGGUAACUACCCAGAAAGGGACGGCUAACUACGU